AACGGGUGAGGAGCACGUGAGGGAUCUGCCUUUCACUUCGGGAUAACUCCGGGAAACCGGGGCUAAUACCGGAUACUUUCAACUGGCGGCAUCGCCGGUUGAAGAAAGUUUUUCGGUGAAAGAUGACCUCGCGGCCUAUCAGCUUGUUGGUGAGGUAAAGGCUCACCAAGGCAACGACGGGUAGCCGGCCUGAGAGGGCGACCGGCCACACUGGGACUGAGACACGGCCCAGACUCCUACGGGAGGCAGCAGUAGGGAAUAUUGGGCAAUGGGCGUAAGCCUGACCCAGCGACGCCGCGUGAGGGAUGAAGGUCUUCGGAUUGUAAACCUCUUUCAGUAGGGAAGAAGCGAAAGUGACGGUACCUGCAGAAGAAGCACCGGCUAACUAUGUGCCAGCAGCCGCGGUAAUACAUAGGGUGCAAGCGUUGUCCGGAAUUAUUGGGCGUAAAGAGCUCGUAGGUGGUCGAUCACGUCGGAUGUGAAAAUCUGAGGCUUAACCUCAGACCUGCAUUCGAUACGGGUUGACUGGAGUGUGGUAGGGGAGACUGGAAUUCCUGGUGUAGCGGUGGAAUGCGCAGAUAUCAGGAGGAACACCGAUGGCGAAGGCAGGUCUCUGGGCCAUUACUGACACUGAGGAGCGAAAGCGUGGGGAGCGAACAGGAUUAGAUACCCUGGUAGUCCACGCCGUAAACGGUGGGCGCUAGUUGUGGGAACCUUCCACGGUUUCCGCGACGCAGCUAACGCAUUAAGCGCCCCGCCUGGGGAGUACGGUCGCAAGACUAAAACUCAAAGAAAUUGACGGGGCCCCGCACAAGCAGCGGAGCAUGCGGCUUAAUUCGACGCAACGCGAAGAACCUUACCAAGGCUUGACAUAUACAGGAAUACGGCAGAGAUGUCGUAGCCGCAAGGUCUGUAUACAGGUGGUGCAUGGUUGUCGUCAGCUCGUGUCGUGAGAUGUUGGGUUAAGUCCCGCAACGAGCGCAACCCUCGUCCUGUGUUACCAGCAUUUAGUUGGGGACUCACAGGAGACUGCCGGGGUCAACUCGGAGGAAGGUGGGGAUGACGUCAAAUCAUCAUGCCCCUUAUGUCUUGGGCUGCACGCAUGCUACACUGGCUGGUACAAAGGGCUGCGAUACCGCAAGGUGGAGCGAAUCCCAGAAAGCCAGUCUCAGGUUCGAUCGGUCUCAAC
rnacentral:rRNA from 1 species